rnacentral:rRNA from 13 species
CGUAGAAGAAGCCCCGGCUAACUUCGUGCCAGCAGCCGCGGUAAUACGUAGGUGGCAAGCGUUGUCCGGAAUUAUUGGGCGUAAAGGGCUCGCAGGCGGUUUCUUAAGUCUGAUGUGAAAGCCCCCGGCUCAACCGGGGAGGGUCAUUGGAAACUGGGGAACUUGAGUGCAGAAGAGGAGAGUGGAAUUCCACGUGUAGCGGUGAAAUGCGUAGAGAUGUGGAGGAACACCAGUGGCGAAGGCGACUCUCUGGUCUGUAACUGACGCUGAGGAGCGAAAGCGUGGGGAGCAAACAGG